CGUAGGGUGCAAGCGUUAAUCGGAAUUACUGGGCGUAAAGCGUGCGCAGGCGGUUAUGUAAGACAGUUGUGAAAUCCCCGGGCUCAACCUGGGAACUGCACCUGUGACUGCAUAGCUAGAGUACGGUAGAGGGGGAUGGAAUUCCGCGUGUAGCAGUGAAAUGCGUAGAUAUGCGGAGGAACACCGAUGGCGAAGGCAAUCCCCUGGACCUGUACUGACGCUCAUGCACGAAAGCGUGGGGAGCAAACAGGAUUAGAUACCCUGGUAGUCCACGCCCUAAACGAUGUCAACUGGUUGUUGGGUCUUCACUGACUCAGUAACGAAGCUAACGCGUGAAGUUGACCGCCUGGGGAGUACGGCCGCAAGGUUG
rnacentral:rRNA from 1 species